rnacentral:lncRNA from 1 species
AUGGCGAACAUUCCAAAAACCCGCCAGACUUUCUGUACGAAGUGUGCAAGCACCAACCCCAGAAAAUGACACGGUACAAGAAGAGCAAGGAUUUUCUGUAUGCCCAGGGAAAGCAGCGUUAUGACAGGAAGCAGAGUGGCUAUGGUGGGCAGACUAAGCCAAUUUUCCAGAAAAAGACUAAAACUACAAAGAAGAUUGGGCCAAGGCUUGAGUGCAUAGAGCCCAACUGCCGAUCUAAGAGAAUGCUGGCUAUUAAAUGAUGCAAGUAUUUUGAACUGGGAGGAGAUAAGGAGAGAAAGGGCCAAGUAAUCCAGUUCUGC